rnacentral:rRNA from 1 species
GAGAGGUGCUGCAUGGCUGUCGUCAGCUCGUGCUGUGAAAUGUUGGGUUAAGUCUCGCAACGAGCGCAACCCCUAUCGUCUGUUGCCAGCAUUAAGUUGGGCACUCUGACGAGACUGCCUGGGUUAACCAGGAGGAAGGUGGGGACGACGUCAAGUCCUCAUGGCCCUUAUGUCUAGGGCUACACACGUAAUACAAUGGCGCGUACAGAGGGAAGCGAACUCGCAAGGGGGAGCAAAUCUCAAAAAGCGCGCCUCAGUUCGGAUUGGAGUCUGCAACUCGACUCCAUGAAGUUGGGAUCGCUAGUA